CAUGCAAGUCGAACGCAUUGUGGUUGAAAUGAUAUGAAGAACUUGUUCAGAUUUGAUUUUCAACAUUGCAAUGAGUGGCGAACGGGUGAGUAACACGUGGGAAACCUACCUCUUAGCAGGGGAUAACAUUUGGAAACAAAUGCUAAUACCGUAUAAUAAUUAAAACCGCAUGGUUUUAGUUUAAAAGAUGGUCUUGCUAUCACUAAGAGAUGGUCCCGCGGUGUAUUAGUUAGUUGGUGAGGUAAUGGCUCACCAAGACAAUGAUACAUAGCCGAGUUGAGAGACUGACCGGCCACAAUGGGACUGAGACACGGCCCAUACUCCUACGGGAGGCAGCAGUAGGGAAUCUUCCACAAUGGACGAAAGUCUGAUGGAGCAACGCCGCGUGUGUGAUGAAGGGUUUCGGCUCGUAAAACACUGUUGUAAGAGAAGAAUGACAUUGAGAGUAACUGUUCAAUGUGUGACGGUAUCUUACCAGAAAGGAACGGCUAAAUACGUA
rnacentral:rRNA from 1 species